CGAAAUGCGAUAAGUAAUGUGAAUUGCAGAAUUCAGUGAAUCAUUGAAUCUUUGAACGCACAUUGCGCCCGCCAGUAUUCUGGCGGGCAUGCCUGUUCGAGCGUCAUUACAACCCUCAGGCCCCCGGGCCUGGCGUUGGGGAUCGGCGGAAGCCCCCUGCGGGCACAACGCCGUCCCCCAAAUACAGUGGCGGUCCCGCCGCAGCUUCCAUUGCGUAGUAGCUAACACCUCGCAACUGGAGAGCGGCGCGGCCACGCCGUAAAACACCCAACUUCUGAAUGUUGACCUCGAAUCAGGUAGGAAUACCCGCUGAACUUAAGC
rnacentral:misc_RNA from 1 species